rnacentral:lncRNA from 9 species
CCCCCUUCCCCCCACUUCCGCAGUCGGUCCUGAGCGCGGGGGUCUGUCCCGGGCCUCCCAAUUUCCCGAUACAGGAGAAACGCCCUGUCAGUGUUUGGCCCCCCACCUCCUCCACACAGAUUUUGGCUCCAGGGAGCCUUCGAGAGAAGAGCCGCGGGUCCCACUGGUCCAAGCUCUGGGUGCUGAAAGCCCUGGCCAGACCACCAACGCCGGGUCCCACAGCCGCCCACAGCCUCCGAUUGCCCCCUGCUGCCCGAUCCUGGAACUACAGCCCCGUCGUGCAAGCCUUCUCUGUCCAGCGUGGAAGCCCAGGCCAGUCUGUGCCAGCUGUCUUCCUGGGACCCUCGUCGUCCUGGCAGUGCCUCUGAGGACCGGGCUCGUGAAAGCCACCCCACAUGUUUAUUGUUUUUCCUGGGUGAUCUCAAGCCCUUCCUGAUCUGUACCAGCUCAGAUCCUCCACAGCUCACAUCAGACCAGCUGGCCCUGCCACUGAUCUAUCUGAUCCCUUUGGGCAGGAAAUGGGGGACCCAGACCGCUGGACACACACCGGACAACAGCCGGCCCUCACAUUUGUGCUGGAUGGUACCAUCUACAAAGGGAUUUUGCUGCGUGUGCUGCUCCCUGUGA